rnacentral:rRNA from 1 species
GUGUCAGCAGCCGCGGUAAUACGGGGGGAGCAAGCGUUGUUCGGAUUUACUGGGCGUAAAGGGCGCGUAGGCGGUCACUACAAGUCAGCUGUGAAAUCUCCGGGCUUAACUCGGAACGGUCAGCUGAUACUGUCGGACUAGAGUGCAGAAGGGGCAACUGGAAUUCUCGGUGUAGCGGUGAAAUGCGUAGAUAUCGAGAGGAACACCUGCGGCGAAGGCGGGUUGCUGGGCUGACACUGACGCUGAGGCGCGAAAGCUAGGGGAGCGAACGGGAUUAGAUACCCCAGUAGUCC